rnacentral:lncRNA from 1 species
CUGCCGCUGCAUCGACCUCUGCAGUUCUAAGGGGAAACGGACCAGCCAAGUACUUCUCAGUGAGAUUGGAAAAUGAGAUUCCAGAACCAGACAGCCUUCCCUCUCUGGGUGCCAGCAGCGAGCGUCUGUUCCUGAAGCAGUGAUAUGGCCCUCGGCACAGUCAAGAAUUGUGCCAUUUGGGAGGCAGGAAAUCGUUUCCAGGAGAAAGUGCUCCAUGCAGAUGGCUAAGCAUCUGGCGCUGGGGAAUCUGCAAAUGCUGAAAACGUCAGGAUUUAAAAGAAACCCAGACUUCUUCCCUUUUCCUAAUUGCUUCCAACACUUCCCUGAGCCUUUUCUCCCUUAGAGACAAUGGAAUGGGCUAGAAUGUGCUCAAAGGUGCAGAAUGCUGG